rnacentral:rRNA from 1 species
UGCGUAGGCGGGUCUUUAAGUCAGGGGUGAAAUCCUGGAGCUCAACUCCAGAACUGCCUUUGAUACUGAAGAUCUUGAGUUCGGGAGAGGUGAGUGGAACUGCGAGUGUAGAGGUGAAAUUCGUAGAUAUUCGCAAGAACACCAGUGGCGAAGGCGGCUUACUGGCCCGAUACUGACGCUGAGGCACGAAAGCGUGGGAGCAAACA